rnacentral:rRNA from 1 species
UACGUAGGGACCAAGCGUUGUUCGGAUUUACUGGGCGUAAAGGGCGCGUAGGCGGCUUGACAAGUCGAAGGUGAAAUCCCUCGGCUCAACUGAGGAACUGCCUUUGAAACUGUCUGGCUUGAGGCCGGGAGGGGGUAGCGGAAUUCCCAGUGUAGCGGUGAAGUGCGUAGAUAUUGGGAGGAACACCAGUGGCGAAGGCGGCUCACUGGACUGGUACUGACGCUGAGGCGCGAAAGCGUGGGGAGCAAACGGG